GACAGAGGGUGCAAACGUUGUUCGGAAUUACUGGGCGUAAAGCGCGUGUAGGCGGCCAUCUAAGUCGGGCGUGAAAUCCCACGGCUCAACCGUGGAAGUGCACUCGAAACUGGAUGGCUAGAGUCCUGGAGAGGAAGGUGGAAUGCUUGGUGUAGAGGUGAAAUUCGUAGAUAUCAAGCGGAACACCGGUGGCGAAGGCGGCCUUCUGGACAGUGACGUGACGCUGAGACGCGAAAAGCGUGGGGAGCAAACAGGG
rnacentral:rRNA from 1 species